rnacentral:rRNA from 1 species
UACAGAGGGUGCGAGCGUUGUUCGGAAUUAUUGGGCGUAAAGGGCGCGUAGGCGGUGCGGUAAGUCACCUGUGAAACCUCUGGGCUUAACUCAGAGCCUGCAGGCGAAACUACCGUGCUGGAGUGUGGGAGAGGUGCGUGGAAUUCCCGGUGUAGCGGUGAAAUGCGCAGAGAUCGGGAGGAACACCCGUAGCGAAGGCGGCACUCUGGGCCGGUACUGACGCUGAGGAGCGAAAGCGUGGGGAGCAAACAGG